rnacentral:rRNA from 1 species
UACAGAGGGGGCAAGCGUUAUUCGGAAUUAUUGGGCGUAAAGGGCGCGUAGGCGGCUUUUCAAGUGACGGGUGAAAUCCCUCGGCUUAACCGAGGAACUGCCUGUCAGACUGGAAGGCUUGAGACCGGGGAGAGGUGAGUGGAAUUCCCAGUGUAGCGGUGAAAUGCGUAGAUAUUGGGAGGAACACCAGUGGCGAAGGCGGCUCACUGGACCGGAACUGACGCUGAGGCGCGAAAGCGUGGGUAGCAAACGGG